ACAGGGGACCUUCGGGCCUUGCGCUAUCAGAUGAGCCUAGGUCGGAUUAGCUAGUUGGUGAGGUAAUGGCUCACCAAGGCGACGAUCCGUAACUGGUCUGAGAGGAUGAUCAGUCACACUGGAACUGAGACACGGUCCAGACUCCUACGGGAGGCAGCAGUGGGGAAUAUUGGACAAUGGGCGAAAGCCUGAUCCAGCCAUGCCGCGUGUGUGAAGAAGGUCUUCGGAUUGUAAAGCACUUUAAGUUGGGAGGAAGGGUUGUAGAUUAAUACUCUGCAAUUUUGACGUUACCGACAGAAUAAGCACCGGCUAACUCUGUGCC
rnacentral:rRNA from 1 species